rnacentral:lncRNA from 1 species
AAUUUACAUAGUAGGAUUAGUUGCUUUUGAUGUCUCUAAUUUAGUGUUGCAUUUUAUAGUCUUACUUGUGUUUAGAUAAUUGUUUGUUGAAAUGUUGGGAUUAGCAUUUUAUUUUACCUUGAUGUUUUCUAACUUACACAGUUGAGGUUAAUGUCCAUUUGUUUUAAUUUAGUUAUUUGUAUUCGCAAAAACACUUUUCAACCCCCCC